GUUAGAUAAAGGUAGUGCAAGGUAUGUCCCUUCUUCGAAGGAUGGCAUGUCUCUUCCCAUUGUGAAUGCGGCCUAUUUGGUAUAAGAUAAGAUGUCAGAUGAUGGAGUUUACUUCUUCGACGGGGAUGAUGAUCAGGCGAAGAAGACAGAAAAGAAGUUCGGAUCGAUUGAGAGAAUGAGGCAAGUCAUUCAAUCUUUUCUCAUUCGGUAGAAGAAGGUAGUUUACUAAGUCGACCAUAGAGAAAGCUUUAGGCGCGUUUAAGGGAGAAGAAGUCAGUUUACUUAUUCGAGCAACGGGGGAGGGUGCAGCUCUUUCGUUAAGUGUCAAGAGGUUGUCAAGAUCAUCUUCCAAGUGGCCUAUUAGUUCUUUUCUGAGAGAGUUGGCAUUGCCUAUGUCUCUGAAUUGCUAUUAAAGUAGCUGCUGGUCGGAAGCUCGUUUCCUAGAAGUAGCUCGUGCCUUAGCAUCAGCGAGAAAGACUUCCAUCGAGAGAGGAUCAGAAGUAGGGCUCGACUAAAGAAAGGGAGAGGAAGAAGCUUAGGAGGGCGAGUGCCUUAGCUAGAAGACUAGAAUUGAUUGAGGAGAAGUCGGCCAAGGAUAGGUAAUCUCGGGCUUGUUGAAGAGAGUUUACUAAGUAGCCCAACCAGAUGGUGAAGCCAAGGCAUCCAACGGCCAUUCCCUUACUAAACUCUAAUCGCUUUCAAUUCAAGAAAAAAAGAAGCGAGCCAGCCACUCUCUAACAUUAUAUCUAAAGCCUUUCUUCUGAGCCAGGAAUAAGCCCAAGACUGGGAAGCUCUAAACUCGUUAACAGAAUCUGUAGCGGGCAAAGGAGUUUGAUCGAAUCCACCUUUCUUAUUUCCCACGCCCGAGUGAGUGGUUAUGCUUUCA
rnacentral:misc_RNA from 1 species